AGCUAAAUGCGGAAGAGAUAAGUGCUGAAAGCAUCUAAGCACGAAACUUGCCCCGAGAUGAGUUCUCCCUGACCCUUUAAGGGUCCUGAAGGAACGUUGAAGACGACGACGUUGAUAGGCCGGGUGUGUAAGCGCAGCGAUGCGUUGAGCUAACCGGUACUAAUGAACCGUGAGGCUUAACCUUACAACGCCGAAG
rnacentral:rRNA from 1 species